ensembl:lncRNA
AGUGCCCGCUGGAGGUGGUCUUUAACAGCUAAGAGAACACACAACUGCUUUGAAUUAUGCAUCCUAAUGAGCAUAGAGGGCUACAUUCAAGCAGAUAUUUAUGAAAGCAAAACAUGGUACGCAAAAUGACCAAGACUAGGAUAACGUUACAUAUCACUGUGUUUCUGCAACAACAGAUGCAACUAUUCAGGAUUGGAGUUUUAAGUAAACAAUACGCCACAAGGAAGUGUGACAGGGUUUAAGAAUAUAGGCUGCUGUGAUUUAGCUGUCCCUUGAGGAGAGGAGCACACAUCAAGAAGGCUUUCAGGAGUGUUGUUCCAUUUUAAUUUACCAGGUAAAUUUCCAUUUGUUCAGAGUUUGAAGACACCUGAGUAUAAACAUGACCUGUGUAAUAUGAAACCUAGUUGAUGCUGGAAAGAAAUCAUUGCAGCAUGCCUUUACCUGAUAAUAUGAUUUGGGUUUUCAACAAGUGAACCAAUACUCUGGAUGACCUACACAAGGCAUUUCAGUCCCUGAAGCAACAAACUGAAGAGAAAAUUUGAGCAAAUGGGCUUUUGAACACCUCUUAGACCCCUGGCUCUUCCCCUGCCUAUGAAGAGAAUUGGCCCUAAAGGGAAGAAUUCUAUUGCUUUUGUAUAAUCUACAGCCCUCAGGAGAGGGUUUCUUGCUACUCUGAAUAACCCUAUUAUGUAGCACAACUUCAGUGAACCAACAGUGAUAUUUUGCUAUGCAGCUCUGAUUCCUAUUUAAUUGAAUCAUCCAUUUUUUUAAAAAAAAAAUAGCUUUCUUUAGGUAUAAUUUACAUACCACAAAAUUCACCCAUUCAUAGUAUACAGUUGAGUAAUUUUUAGUGUAUUCUCAGAGUUGUGCAACCAUCACCACUAUCUAACUUUCAAACAUUCCCAUCUUCCCCAAAAGAAACCCUGUACACAUGAGCAGACAUUCUUCAUUUCCACCCCCACUACCCCAACCCAGCACUAGGUAACAAUCUAUUUUCUGGCUCUAUAAAUUUGUCUAUUCUGGACUUUUCAUACGAAUGGAAUCAUACAAUAUGUGACCUUUUGUGACUGGCUUCCUUCACCUAGCAUAAUGUUUUCAAGAUUCAUCCAUGUUGUAGCAUGUAUCAGUAAUACUUCACUCCUUCUUAUUGCCAAAUGAUAUUCCAUUAUAUGGAUGUACCACCAUUGUUUAUCCAUUCAUCAGUUGAUGGACAUUUGCAUUGUUUCCACUUUCUGUCUAUUAUGAAUAAUGGUGCUAUGAAUAAUGCUUGUUGUUAGUGUACAACUUUUUGUGUGGAUAUAUGUUUUCAAUUCUCUUGGGUAUAUCCUGUAGGGGAGGAAGAGAGUUCCUCUACCCUCUAGGUCCUUCUGGCUGGGCUAUGAAUUAAAUUGACAUGAGACAGAAGAACAGGAGAAAAUCAAACAAAGCUUUAUAACAUGUAUACCUGGGAGAAACCCGGGAAAACUGAGCAACUUAGCCAGAAUGGCCAAAACUACCACCUUAAAUAGCAUCUUUAGCUAAAGACAAAGGAGGAUGUUGGAGGUGGAGGGAGUCAGUAAUGGGAGAUUACCAGAAAAUUAUGGUAAACAAGAGUAAGGUUAUGAUGCAGAUUUAAGUCCUUGGCUUCCACACUGAUAAGAGUUUCUAGAGAUAAGGUCAUCCCCCCUUCUUCCUGGUACAGAGAGGGAGACAUCUUUACAAAUGGAGAGUUCCCCUAGAAAUGUAAAUAUCUCUUACAAACGGUAACUUCUACUUGGUUUUCAGAGCUUCUCCCCUGCCUGCAGUUUCUUAAAAGUAACGAGCCCAAAAUAAUCCUCAUGCCAGAGAAACACAUUUUGGGGUGGCCAAUUCUGAUCCCCCAUUCCUCACUGUGGAAUUGCUGCGUCAUACGGUAAUUCUACAUUUAACAUUUUGAGGAACUACCAAACUAUUUCCAAAGUGGCUACACCAGUUUUAUUCCCAUCAGCAAGGUAUGAGGGUUCCAAUUUCUCCACGUCUUCACCAACAGUUGUUAUUGCCACCCUCAUGGGUAUGAAGUUGUAUCUUGUUAUGGUUUUGAUUUGCCUUCCCCUAAUGAUGGCAAUCAUCUUUUCAUGUGCUUAUUGGCCAUUUGUGUAUCUUCCUUGGAGAAAUGUUCAUUCACAUCUUUUGUCCACUUUUAAUUGUAUUAUUUGUCCUUUUAUUAUUGAGUUGUAAGAGUUCUUAAUAUAUUCUGGAUAUAAGUUAUUUGUCAGAUACAUAAUUUGCUAAUAUUUUCUCCCAUUCUCUGGGCUGUCAUUUUACUUUUUUGUUGGUUUCUUUUGAAGCACAAAAAUCUUUAAUUUUGAGGUAGUCCAAUUUGUCUAUUUUUAUUUUUGUUGCUUAUUCUUUUGGAGUCAUAUCCAAGAAAACACUGCCUAUCCCAAGGUCACAAAGGUUUACAUUUAUGUUUUCUUCUAAGAGUUUUAUACUUUUAGCUUUUAACUUUAGGUCUAGGAUCUGUUUUGGAUUAAUUUUUGUAUAUGGUAUGAGGUGGUGUCUCACUUUAUUCUUUUUUGAGUAGAUAUCUGGUUAUCCCAACACCAUUUGUUGAAAUUGCAUAAGCUUUUAAACCACAUACUAGAAAGCUGUUAAGUUAGCAGUUACAUUAGCUGUCUGUCACUGAGCAUCCGAGUAAGCAAAUUCAACUCUGGGAGCUUUCGGAAUCAGUAUUUGUUUCUGUAGAUUU